rnacentral:rRNA from 1 species
UACAGAGGGUGCGAGCGUUGUCCGGAAUCACUGGGCGUAAAGGGUGCGUAGGCGGGAUCUUAAGUCAGGGGUGAAAUCCCGAGGCUCAACCUCGGAACUGCCUUUGAUACUGGGGAUCUUGAGUCCGGAAGAGGUGAGUGGAACUGCGAGUGUAGAGGUUAAAUUCGUAGAUAUUCGCAAGAACACCGGUGGCGAAGGCGGCUCACUGGUCCGGAACUGACGCUGAGGCACGAAAGCGUGGGGAGCAAACAGG